rnacentral:rRNA from 1 species
GACAGGAGGUGCCAAGCGUUUAGGCGGAAUCACUGGGCUUAAAAGGCGUGUGUAGGCGGGUGCCUAAGUACCUUGUCGGAAAUCCCCACGGCUUCAACCGUGGAACUGCUGGGUAUACUGGGUGACCUUGGGUCAUCUAGGGGCUGACCGGAACAAAUGGUGGAGCGGUGAAAUGCGUAGAUAUCAUUUGGAACGCCAACGGCGAAAGCAGGCAGCUGGGGAUGCACCGACGCUGGAGACACGAAAGCCAGGGGAGCGAACGGG